GGGCACAUGGUGUAGUUGGUUAUCACGCCCGUUUAGCAUCUGUUGCUGAUUACGGGCGGUGCCCGGUUCAAUUCCGGGUGUGUCCA
rnacentral:tRNA from 1 species